GCAACGCCGCCACUAAUGCCUGUUCAAUAUGGAACAAGCGAUCAACCUGCGGAUGCUGCCCCUCAUACUGCCCAAG
rnacentral:tRNA from 1 species